CAGGUGGGAUGACUUGUCGCGGCUAUUUCAGAUAGCUGAGGAAAGUCCGGACUGGGAAGGGCAUCCUGCUGCGGAAAUCGCAGAUGGGAGUAAUCUUAUGAAUGCCGUAACAGAGAACAGACCGCCCGAAAGGGCAAGGGUGAAACCGUGAGGCAAGAGCUCACGACGUCAGGUGGUGACAUCUGACGGUGACGGCACCAGGACCAGCAAGACCAUGUAUACCGGCAUAUAAGGGCUGCCCGUCCUUUGCCGGGGGGUAGGUUGCGAAGAUAAAUGACAGGAUAAAACAGAAACCGGCUUACGGUCCCGCCUGAACA
rnacentral:RNase_P_RNA from 1 species